rnacentral:lncRNA from 1 species
AUGGCGGAGCCCCCGCCCGCCGCCGCUUCAGCCGCCUCAGCGCCGCCGCCUGAGGGACCGGAGGAGAAGGAGGAGCUUUCCCCCGGCGGAGCCCGCCCGGCGGCCGAAGGUACGGUGUCAGAAUCUGACCCUGGAGAGAAAAAACCAGAUUCUGAGCCAUUCCUAACACCACCUGCUGUAACUGCUGGGAGCAAGAAGAAUGUUACUUCUCGUGAGACGACCGGAGCAGCCGGGAUGAAGAGAUCCCAGGAAAGUCCCAGGCUCAGGAAGAGCCCCCGUGGUCCCAGCCCCAAGAGGAUGUCUCCCUGGAGGAGCAGUCCCAGGAACGACCAGGCAAUGACUUCCUUUAGCUUGUCCCCGAGACUUCUUGGCACCACUCCUCGAGCCAAGCGUCGCUCUUGGUGUCGCUCGAGCCUGAAGGGGAUAAAACGCCGAAAAUCUCUGCCUCCUGUUCACCAAGAUGUCACGGGUACAUUCUCCCUUUAUCAAUCUUUCUUUCAAGAAACUGGCCGGGCAGCAGCCUGCAGCAAAUUGAAAUUUAAUUUCAUGGCACGACUUUUAGGGUGGUUACAGCGUAAUUGUGUUAUUCUUGCCCAGUAACCACCGUUGUCUGUGUUGGCCGUGGUCCUGGAGAUGCAGGCCCUUGAGGAUAAAAGGAGGUUAAUGGCUUUUGUAGAGCAGUGGCUUGAAGUCUC